CAAUUCAUUAUGGCGCAACUGUUUUAAUUAUUCAGAUUUCGCCAUUCAGUUGUUGAAGCAACUUACUUCCUUAUAUGAAGUAUAUAUAUUCCAAACUUUUAGUAGACAGUUCGUCAUUGGACAUUGAAUCCAUAAGAGAAAAUAUGCAGAAUAUUAAAUUUUUGUUCGCUCUACUGUGCUUAAUUGGGAUAACUGCAGUUAUAGCUAAACCUAGGUGCCAGCCGCGUACAUUUAACGUUCUGGCUGGUCAAAGAAUUUGUGAACGCCUAUGUAUUUCGGGACCAGGAUCCAUUGCAAGUACGCGUUGCGCCACAGCACGUGCUGCGACCAGUAUCACACUCUGUCCGAUGAAUUGCUGUCGGCUGGGAUCGGUUUGUCAAUGGGUUUUCCAGUUUAGAUGAAUUCCGAGGGAGUAAUGUUGACGAAAAUAAUUUUUGAUUUAAUCUUGUGGAAAUUAUUUCAAUUCCUUAAUUUGUUGUUGCAGACGCUUUUGUUCUUAUUCAAUGUAAAGCCUUGUACUAUCCUUUAAAUACUGUGCUGAUUUUUCUUGAAAAUAAUAUUCCUUCAUACAUAAAAGUCAUUUUAAAUCAAUUAUCCGACUAUUUUACAUAUUGGAUCACAUUUAUCUGAUCGCCAAUAAAAAUUGCUUAUUUCUCAAGGUAUUACUUAUAGUAAAAAUAUGACUCGAAACAAUAAAAAACAAGAAAAAACGUUAA